UAUGGUAAAAAUAAACAUUUUGACAUGACUGUCUCAGUUCAACAGUAUAGAGUGUAUUACAUAUACAUUUUUUUCCACACUCUCUUCUCACAAACUUUGUAAAAAAAUAUAAUACAAUAGAAUUUUUAAACCCAUUUAGUGAGUAACUAUGCUAUGUCCAUUUAUUGUUAUUGCUACAUUUUGGUUAUGUGUGUACUGUAUACGUAGUAAUCUGACUGGAGAACAGGAAUGAUUUUUACAGAAACUGUAUCAACUAUAACAAGAUAUAUUGGCCUAAAAGUACAUUUAUACAUUGAAAAUUGUAUUUUCUUGGUUUUCUCUUGGUUUUUUCUGUGAUCAGUUUUAUUUUGUCCAUCAGAUGUUAUUAACAGCAAGUUAAUCAAGUGUAUCACCAACUUUAGUGUGUUUGUUUUUCACUUUUAGGCCCUGUUUUAUUAGGGUUUGUUAUGCUGAUGGAGAUAGGUUAAAGAAAAAUUGUCUGUUCUAUUUAUUCCCCAACCCUCUAUUAUUCCUCCUUUCUACUGUAAUUUACCUAUUCAAAUCCUAAAAGUGAAAAGAUGAGAUGUUAUUUUAUGUAUGAAUUUUAAAUGCCUUUAUGAAUCCUUUCUGAGGUUAACUUUGAGUAUCCCUCUGAGCACAUUUUUCACUUAUCUCACCCACUUUAUACAUUGUUUUCUGAUUCAACUAACUAGUUAGGCCUAGUUAAGUACUUGUGUUUUAGACCAGGGUUAUUUGCCUCCCAUCUCAUAGAAUUCUAAUUCUAAAAGCCUAUCUCUAGUUCUGUAAAUUAUUUGCAUAUCCAAUUAUAAUUGAAGCACUAUUUAAAUCUCACCUCGUGUAAGUGCUGUACCAAAGAUAUAAAUGCCAGUCCCAAUUGUCAUUUUUGUUUUAUAAAUAUCCAUGGUAUAUUUCUUCACAUAUUCUAGAACCACUAUUCAGUUUCUACUUUCUAGCCUACUGUCUCUGAAUUUUCUGUCGUUUAUUCAUUCUCUAUUAAUAAUAUUUCCUUCCUGCAGUCUGCUGUUUGGCCUUGGAUUACUGCCACUCAU